CGCCCGUCUCCAUCUUCUCUUCGAGCGUCCGCUUCCCCAAUUCUUCUCUUGUUUUACUUUUAUUUUAUUUUGGUCUCCUUGGAUGCUUGACUGCCCUCUGAAGCCGCCCCAUCUUCGUUGGUCUUCUUCCACCGAAGCUUUUAUUUUUCCCCUGCUUUCCUCUCUCUGCCACUUGCCAAUUCCCCACCAUCUUUGGUCAACAUCGACACUCACCGAAUCAUUUGUUGACCGCUCCUCCUCCACGCGGCCUCUCCACGAAGCCAACAAUCCAACAGAGUCCACCGAAGCAUCCCUCUCUCUCUGCAGCUUUGGUCGACGUUUUUAAACACCCCACGUCCGAAGCCGUUUGUUGACCGCCUGUCCCCACGCGAAGCUGCCCUUCGUCCGCUUCUCACUCCAUCGAAAUCCAGCGUCCACCACUUGCUGUCCCCCGCUGGUCAACCUCCCCCACCGAAAGCCCAACUGUUGACCGCCCUCAGCUCCACGCGGCCAGCGCACGCCAGCGAAACCCACCGAAGCUGCCCGCGUCGCCUCUCGUCUUCAGCUCGCGUGAAGCCCAGCCCAUCAGCAGCCUCUGCACGUCCACGCCUCCACCUGCGUCGGUCAAUCAAAGGAGCUCUCCUCACCGGUUGAUGACCAUCGAAGACGCCGCAGCUCCUUCCUUGCAUCGACGCCAACAAAGCCAGCUCUUUGACCAGCCCAUCUCACAAUUUGUUCGGUCCUCUUCAGCCCAGCAACUUCUCCUUCGAUCGGCCCAAGUCCUCAGCAAGCUUCAGCCCAUCCAGCUCAGGUUUUGGCCCAGCAUCUCCAUCAAGCUCAGCCCAGUUCAGUUGCAUUUCAGUCCAACAAGCCCACGCCUUUUUUCAAGCCCGCUUCAACCAACUUCAGUCCACUUGAAGCUAGUCCAUUUUCAGCAGGCCCAAGCCCAAGUCUAAGCCAAGGAAUUUCUGUAGGCUUGCAAGGUUUCUUGGUCUGGCCCAAGUGUCCGUCAACACCGCCAAAAAUUCGGAAUUCGGCUGCCGUCACGGUGUUCCGGUCUUCGCUUUGCACAAGUCCUUAGAUGAUUGUGGUGAAGGACCGGAGGCUUGGAGUGUAGAAUGUGAAGCUUGAAGAAUUGACGAUCCUAUUGGACUGUGUAGUCCUAGUUUUAUGAACUUGUGAUUUAAAACCCGACUUAACAAUUCGCUUGAGAUGACUGUGUAGGCCGUGCUUGCCGAGUUGUAAUUCAGUAGUGACUUUGAGUAAAUGAGAUGAGCCGACUAAGAAAGAGUCGAGAUGACAUGUAAUUGACUAGGUCGGUUGCUCAAUGAUUUGAUCUGAUGUUAUGAAUUGAUUGAGUGAUGUGAUAUAAGGUAUUUGUAAAUAACGUUGAUUUGCAAGAUGAAACUGAGGUUAAGGUAAGUCCUCUGACUUGUGUUGUGUUUAGGCAGCUUCUUGAGUGUAUUGACUUCCUAAUCGGGUCUUAGGGGGUAGAAUUUGCCAAGAUGUAGUCUCAUUGUUAUAGAAUAACCAUUUUCAGGUCCUUAGAUGAUUGUGGUGAAGGACCGGAGGCUCGGAGUGUAGAAGGUGAAGCUUGAAGAAUUGACGAUCCUAUUGGACUAGUUAGUCAUAUGACACUUUUCUUUUGAUGGGAGUCGAUUCAUUUUUGCAGUCUUAGUUUUAUGAACUUGUGGCUUAAAACCCAACUUAACAAUUCGCUUUAUAUAUAUUUGCACUAUAGUUUGCAAUGUAUAUAAGGGUGGUUGCUUUUAAAGUGGAAAUUUAGAGUCUCACUUUCCUAUCUCA